CUGGCGGGGGGGACGGGCGCGCGGCCGUGCGGGGCCCCGCCUGGCGCGUGCCCGCGUCCUCCCGCUCCGUGCUGAGGCGGCGCUGCGGGCCCCGCGGGGAGGGCCCGUCCGCGGCGGCACCGGCUGCUGCCCCGCCGCAUCGCCCCGCGGACCGGGCCCGCCCGGGCCAUCCCAGCCGUGUGCGCCGCGCCGUGAGGGGCCUGCUGGGCGGGGAGUGCGACCCUCAUGAGGCCUUUCGCGUGGGAGUGUCGUCGUCGCCCCCGCAGCGUGGGUCACCGCACGGGAAGAGGUACUCUGGCUGCGGUGGGUUCUGAAGAAUGCUUGUUUGACGGCGGGGCGUCGGGGACGAAGUCUGAGUCAUGCACGACCCCGCAGAUUUCAAAGGAAAAACAUGUCGUUCCUGCUGGGGAGGAACGUUUGGAUUUCUUCUGCGGCCUGCAGAGGAACCACAGUGGAAGCAGGAACUACAGUAGGAGUGUUAAAAGGUAACUAGGUCCACAGAUGAGGAUCUGGAGGAAUGGUUCAAGAUGCAGCUUGUCCCAGCUCAGAUGCAUUACACAGACUUGCAGACUGCUGCUGAGGCUGAUCUGGACAUGUGGUGCUGUACUGUCUGAAAGACCGUGCCAGUGAAACAGCUGGUCAUUUUUUGGCAGAUCUUCUUCAUAGUGACAUCCUCAGAGUGAUUUGAUGAGGAAAAGCUAAAUUGUGUCUGUCGCCUGUUAAAAACAUGUCCCGGGAAGGAAAACUGCAGCAGGUAUCUCUGUAAGUAUCAUUCAGUCCCAAAUUCCAGGCUAUUAUUUUUUUUUAAACCAGAACUCCCAGUCCAUCAUUAGCAUCUCAACAGAUGGAUUCCUGGAAGAUGCCUGCAGUAUCGACAUUAUCAGACUCGUAACUGCCCCAUACAUGGUCUUGCCCCAAACCCAAGAAGUUUACUGCACAGCCAGGUUUAUCAGGAAAACACAGACAAGUUGACUUGCAGCCUGAGUGCACCCCAGGGGGGGUUGUUCUGAGAGGCCUGGAAGAAUUCGGGCAAGGUGUGGCUCUCUCACUACUAAAAAAUACCUUUGUUUUACUUCUAGGA